CAGGGCACAACGCUGAACUCUCUGUUGAGAACCUAAUCUAAGAAUUCAAAGGUCCCAAGGGAAGUUCCUGUCUAACCUCAUCACUACCAGCUCAUGUUCCCGCAGCUGAGUAUUAUGUUACUGCUGGUUUUUGUUCCAAAUCUAUGACUGUAACCUGAUUGGUCUGUCCCAUCAUUUUACUGAGUGACAUCAUUCGUUAAUAUUGCUGGGUAAGUUGACCAUUUUGAUCCCUGAGCUCUGGCUGAGGAUGAGAUGUUGUCCAACCACAGCUACCAAAUCCACUCAUGUCUCUUUCGAUCGCCAUGACAACAGAAUGGUUUUUACAUGGACCAGUUUAACAGUUUGUUCGUUCCUAUCUCUGGGCAGCGUUGGAUUGUAUGGAUUUGCUUUCCACCUGUUGAGCAGCAACAGGGUUCCAUC
rnacentral:lncRNA from 1 species